AUUGAACGCUGGCGGCAGGCUUAACACAUGCAAGUCGAACGAGUGGCGGACGGGUGAGUAAUGCUUGGGAAUCUAGCUUCUGGAGGGGGAUAACUACGGGAAACUGUAGCUAAUACCGCGUACCAUAGGAUGAGCCCAAGUGGGAUUAGGUAUUUGGUUAGGUAAAGGCUCACCAAGCCGACGAUCCUUAGCUGGUCUGAGAGGAUGACAAGCCACACUGGAACUGAGACACGGUCCAGACUCCUACGAGAGGCAGCAGUGGGGAAUAUUGCACAAUGGGCGCAAGCCUGAUGCAGCCAUGCCGCGUGUAUGAAGAAGGCCUUAGGGUUGUAAAGUACUUUCAGCGAGGAGGCGGUACCCGCAGAAGAAGCACCGGCUAACUCCGUGCCAGCAGCCGCGGUAAUUC
rnacentral:rRNA from 1 species